GUUCUCCUUUUUCUCCUGAACAGGUAGCUAAGCUUUUGAGUCUUGUUAAUGAAAAAACCAGUUCUGAUGCACAGCCUUCUAACAUGGGAGGAUUCGAAAUCAGGGAGAGUCCUGGUGACUGGUAAACAGGAUAAUGGAUUGUAUUUUAUAAACAAAGGUUACCUUCCUCCGUGCUUUUAGGAAAAAGUCCAUAUGAGAUAGUGUUUGGUUUUAGACCCUCUC